GACGAACGCUGGCGGCGUGCUUAACACAUGCAAGUCGAACGGAAAGGCCCCUUUGGGGGUACUCGAGUGGCGAACGGGUGAGUAACACGUGAGUAACCUGCCCUUGACUUCGGGAUAACUUCAGGAAACUGGGGCUAAUACCGGAUAGGAAUCCUUGCUGCAUGGUGGGGGUUGGAAAGCUUCGGCGGUUUUGGAUGGACUGGCGGCUUAUCAGCUUGUUGGUGGGGUAGUGGCUUACCAAGGCUUUGACGGGUAGCCGGCCUGAGAGGGCGACCGGCCACAUUGGGACUGAGGUACGGCCCAGACUCCUACGGGAGGCAGCAGUGGGGAAGAUUGCACAAUGGGCGGAAGCCUGAUGCAGCAACGCCGCGUGCGGGAUGACGGCCUUCGGGUUGUAAACCGCUUUCAGCAGGGGCGAAGCUUGUGGUGACGGUACCUGCAGAAGAAGCACCGGCUAACUACGUG
rnacentral:rRNA from 1 species